rnacentral:misc_RNA from 1 species
UACGGAGGGGGCUAGCGUUGUUCGGAAUUACUGGGCGUAAAGCGCGCGUAGGCGGCGUGGAAAGUUAGGCGUGAAAGGCCUGGGCUUAACCCGGGAACUGCGCUUAAAACUGCCAUGCUAGAGGCCGAGAGAGGGUGGCGGAAUUCCCAGUGUAGAGGUGAAAUUCGUAGAUAUUGGGAAGAACACCGGUUGCGAAGGCGGCCACCUGGAUCGGUACUGACGCUGAGGUGCGAAAGCGUGGGGAGCAAACAGG